CGUCAAUUACAUUGGGAAGAGAAUAAAGAGCUAACCUUACAUCGUAGCGAAAGAGUAUCGACUUUGGGACGUUUGUUAUCGCUAGCGUUACAUUAUUAAAAGUUUAGCUCUUGUAUUCAAUCAUGUUUCUUAUAACAGUAUUCCAUAAUGUAAGUAUAUUAAAUACACAGGAAAAAGGUUGAACGUGAACAAAGUUGGGCUACUCACACGACGAAAACUGUUGCCAGCAGCACCAGCCCUGUGUGAUACCUGGUUCAGUGCCCGAGAGUCUUCCAUGACUCUGCAGUAGAGUGGAGAACAUACUGCGACCAUGCCCCAAUGAUGUGCCUGUCUCUCUGGCCCUGGACACCUUACCGGCCCAGGCAGCAGAUCCCUUCCAUACACAUCUCUUCUCACUCUCAGAACCCAAGAGAGGACAGAUCAAGCCUUCCCUGUCUUACUGUGAGAAGGAGUGGGUUUAUGCGUUCCAUGUCCCCGUUUGAUGCCUCCAAAAGCAGCAUCUACUGAACCCACCAUCCCACAUGACCGAACACAGAAUAAACAGACCCUCAAGACACUAGAAAGAUUGGGCUUUGCCAGGAAUACCAGGCCAAAUGGCUGGUGGGCUGCUGGACAGAAGAGCUCAUUCCCCUCAACACAGACCGCCACGGACCUGCUUCAGUCUGCAGGGAUGCCCAUGUAGGACCCAGUGAUGCCCAUGUAGGACCCAGUGAUGCCCAUGUAGGACCCAGUGAUGCCCAUGUAGGACCCAGUGAUGCCCAUGUAGGACCCAAUGAUGCCCAUGUAGGACCCAAUGAUGCCCAUGUAGGACCCAGUGAUGCCCGUGUAGGACCCAGUGAUGCCCAUAUAGGACCCAGUGAUGCCCAUAUAGGAC
ensembl:lncRNA